rnacentral:rRNA from 1 species
GCGAACGCUGGCGGCAGGCCUAACACCUGCAGGUCGAACGAACCUUUCGGGGUUAGUGGCGGACGGGUGAGUAACACGUGGGAACGUGCCUUUAGGUUCGGAAUAACUCAGGGAAACUUGUGCUAAUACCGAAUGUGCCCUUCGGGGGAAAGAUUUAUCGCCUUUAGAGCGGCCCGCGUCUGAUUAGCUAGUUGGUUGAGGUAAUGGCUCACCAAGGCGACGAUCAGUAGCUGGUCUGAGAGGAUGAUCAGCCACAUUGGGACUGAGACACGGCCCAAACUCCUACGGGAGGCAGCAGUGGGGAAUCUUGCGCAAUGGGCGAAAGCCUGACGCAGCCAUGCCGCGUGAAUGAUGAAGGUCUUAGGAUUGUAAAAUUCUUUCACCGGGGACGAUAAUGACGGUACCCGGAGAAGAAGCCCCGGCUAACUUCGUG